rnacentral:rRNA from 1 species
GAUGAACGCUGGCGGCGUGCCUAAUACAUGCAAGUCGAGCGAACAGACGAGGGGCUUGCUCCUCUGACGUUAGCGGCGGACGGGUGAGUAACACGUGGAUAACCUACCUAUAAGACUGGGAUAACUUCGGGAAACCGGAGCUAAUACCGGAUAAUAUAUUGAACCGCAUGGUUCAAUAGUGAAAGACGGUUUUGCUGUCACUUAUAGAUGGAUCCGCGCCGCAUUAGCUAGUUGGUAAGGUAACGGCUUACCAAGGCAACGAUGCGUAGCCGACCUGAGAGGGUGAUCAGCCACACUGGAACUGAGACACGGUCCAGACUCCUACGGGAGGCAGCAGUAGGGAAUCUUCCGCAAUGGGCGAAAGCCUGACGGAGCAACGCCGCGUGAGUGAUGAAGGUCUUCGGAUCGUAAAACUCUGUUAUUAGGGAAGAACAGAUGUGUAAGUAACUAUGCACGUCUUGACGGUACCUAAUCAGAAAGCCACGGCUAACUACGUG